rnacentral:rRNA from 1 species
GGGAGCUUGCUCCGCUGACGAGUGGCGAACGGGUGAGUAAUAUAUCGGAACGUACCCAAGAGUGGGGGAUAACGUAGCGAAAGUUACGCUAAUACCGCAUACGAUCUAUGGAUGAAAGCAGGGGACCUUCGGGCCUUGUGCUCCUGGAGCGGCCGAUAUCUGAUUAGCUAGUUGGUGAGGUAAAGGCUCACCAAGGCGACGAUCAGUAGCUGGUCUGAGAGGACGACCAGCCACACUGGAACUGAGACACGGUCCAGACUCCUACGGGAGGCAGCAGUGGGGAAUUUUGGACAAUGGGCGCAAGCCUGAUCCAGCAAUGCCGCGUGAGUGAAGAAGGCCUUCGGGUUGUAAAGCUCUUUUGUCAGGGAAGAAACGGCUGUGGCUAAUAUCCACGGCUAAUGACGGUACCUGAAGAAUAAGCACCGGCUAACUACGUGCCAGCAGCCGCGGUAAUACGUAGGGUGCAAGCGUUAAUCGGAAUUACUGGGCGUAAAGCGUGCGCAGGCGGUUUUGUAAGUCUGUCGUGAAAUCCCCGGGCUCAACCUGGGAAUUGCGAUGGAGACUGCAAGGCUAGAAUCUGGCAGAGGGGGGUAGAAUUCCACGUGUAGCAGUGAAAUGCGUAGAGAUGUGGAGGAACACCGAUGGCGAAGGCAGCCCCCUGGGUCAAGAUUGACGCUCAUGCACGAAAGCGUGGGGAGCAAACAGGAUUAGAUAC